UCAGUUCGGAUUGUAGUCUGCAACUCGACUACAUGAAGCUGGAAUCGCUAGUAAUCGCAAGUCAGCAUGUUGCGGUGAAUCCGUUCCCGGGUCUUGUACACACCGCCCGUCACACCAUGGGAGUUGGAAACGCCCGAAGUCAGUGACCGAACCGAAAGGGAGGAGCUGCCGAAGGCGGGUCGAAUAACUGGGGUGAAGUCGUAACAAGGUAGC
rnacentral:rRNA from 1 species